rnacentral:rRNA from 1 species
UGCGUAGGUGGUUAGGUAAGACCUGUGGGAAAGACCUGGGCUUAACCCAGGAAGGUCGCAGGUGACUGCCUGGCUAGAGGGCGGGAGAGGAGCGCGGAAUUCCCGGUGUAGCGGUGAAAUGCGUAGAGAUCGGGAGGAAGGCCGGUGGCGAAGGCGGCGCUCUGGAACGUUCCUGACACUGAGGCACGAAAGCGUGGGGAGCAAACAGGAUUAGGUACCCUGGUAGUCCACGCCCUAAACGAUGGGUACUAAGUGUCGGCGGGUUACCGCCGGUGCCGCACCUAACGGAGUAAGUACCCCGCCUGGGGAGUACGGCCGCAAGGUUGAA